UAUUUGGAUUAUAUUGAUCUACAGAUCAGUUUGUAGAGAAAGUCACUUAUCUUUUCUAUGUCCUAGAUCCGUCUUCUGAAAAAACAAGACAAAAAUACUCACUGAGCAAUUAUGAGUGUUACAUCAGACAGUGUAUUUGCAAACUGGAAAAAAAUAACCCACUAUAGAAAUGCUGGAUAUUUGUUACAAAACGAGAAGCAACACGUGCAAGGGCUGGGGAGAAAUCCGCCUGCAGCAGAUUUAAAAAGGUUGCAGCAAAGCUGGAGUGUGGUCGCUGUUGGCUCCUCCCCUCACGCUGGCUGGGAAGGCACAGGCGGGGGUUCAGGGGAGAGAAGAGGCCACUUUGCAGGGACUCCCCGUGUCAGCACUGGCGUCACAUCCCAGCGGCCAUCACAGCUCCUUAUGACAUUGUCUAAGUGUUUGCCUUCUCACGUCUUCCACUCUGUAGCCGGGAAACUGAGCAUAGAAUCCAUUAUGACUUAUUUUUCAAGUACGCCUGCUGCGCGUCAGGGCCAGGUCCGCGUGGAUCUGCCUUUCCACGUGUUCUGCAUAGAACGUCACACCUGGAGAGGAGAUGACCAUGCACCACCAACGGGGAAAGGACUUCUUCCAUUGACCAUGCCUCCUCGGUCCCCUGGAGCGUGUGCUGAUCCUGGCGGGCCUGGGGGCAAGCGGCUGCGAGGAGCGUGGGCUUUGCCAGGAGGGCUGGCGGUACAGGCCCGGGGUUGUAUUUGUCCCAGCGCCGCGCUGCUCCUCCAGGGACUGUGGCAGGGAUGCUGGCCAGAGCACCGCCUGCCCUGCGCUGAGGGGAACCAGACGGCAGCCCCGCCGCCGCGGCCCGCCCUGCCCAGCAGCAGCCAGAAGGCCGGUCCCUGGGGGGGAGGAAGGAAGACAGCGGAGAGAAUCAGACAAAGGAAGACCACCAUAAACCAGCAGCAUGUCUGUAAUCAGGAGGGCCCUUUGUUGAGAGCUGGUCUAAACAAGUUGUGAUCCCCUGGAAGGGGGCCAUAAACCGAAGCCAAAAUAAAGGUGUUUACAGCAAGGGAGACGGACGGGCUGCGGCCUCGUUUGGCCGCGAUGGGGGGGUACUGGUGGCCCUAAGGCCCCGCCUGCGCUCGGGGGACGCGUCCGAACAUCACAGAACAUCACAGACGCAAGCGCAGGGGAAGGGGGAGGCGCGGGAUGGGGGCGCCCAGGGACCCUCCCACAUUCCGGCCUGGGGGA
rnacentral:lncRNA from 1 species